rnacentral:rRNA from 1 species
GACGAACGCUGGCGGCGUGCUUAACACAUGCAAGUCGAACGGAAAGGCCCUGCUUUUGUGGGGUGCUCGAGUGGCGAACGAGUGAGUAACACGUGAGUAACCUGCCCUUGACUUUGGGAUAACUUCAGGAAACUGGGGCUAAUACCGGAUAGGAGCUCCUGCUGCAUGGUGGGGGUUGGAAGGUUUCGGCGGUUGGGGAUGGACUCGCGGCUUAUCAGCUUGUUGGUGGGGUAGUGGCUUACCAAGGCUUUGACGGGUAGCCGGCCUGAGAGGGUGACCGGCCACAUUGGGACUGAGAUACGGCCCAGACUCCUACGGGAGGCAGCAGUGGGGAAUAUUGCACAAUGGGCGGAAGCCUGAUGCAGCAACGCCGCGUGCGGGAUGACGGCCUUCGGGUUGUAAACCGCUUUCGCCUGUGACGAAGCGUGAGUGACGGUAAUGGGUAAAGAAGCACCGGCUAACUACGUG